GGAGAUAUACGGUCCAGUAUAGCAAAAGCUAUGGAUGCUUAGAACUAGUUAUAGUUCGUCGGUGAAGAAUAUACAAAUGUUCUGUGUUUCUAUUGGCGUUGAAUGAUAUAGUUUAACACAUUCGGAAGAAUAUACAAAUGGUCUGUGGUUCUAUUGGCGUUGAAUGAUAUAGUUUAACACAUUCUCAAGUUAUUGGUGGCAUCUUGUUUAAAACAAAUUUUACCGUCCUUUUCCAUGGUUCAUGCAAUUUACUCUUGCAAUUUGCAGCAUUUUCUCUUUUUGGU
rnacentral:lncRNA from 1 species